rnacentral:misc_RNA from 1 species
CUGAGUUUACAACUCCCAAACCACUGUGAACAUUACCACUUUGCUUCCUGCCCUCGAGGGGAUGCGAGAGACCAUACUGCUACGGUAACGGGACGUUGCCUCGCCAGCCGAGACCCUUAACUAUUGUUUUAUACUGUAAUCUUCUGAGUGGUUAAACAUAAUAAAUCA